AUUUAUAAGAUUCUAAUACUACUAAAUCCAUGAUCUUCCUUCCUGGAUUUUGUCUGCCAGUAAUGUCCUAUAUCUACUUCAUUUUUUGAUUUUGUAAUUACUAUCUCUCUCAUCCAUGAAAGAGAAAGAAAGAAAAAGGCAUUAUAGAACAGCCAACAACAUAUGGAACUAAAUACAUUUAGGAAUAUAAUUUUCAGUUGCUCUGUGAAAAUGUAUCUUUCUAUUCUUGUUAUCAAGCAUUCAAUUCUGCAGUUUACUUAUUACAACAUUCUUAUUUAUGAAAGCAUGUGGGUUGUACAUAUGUCAGUUCAGGUGUUAAUUGGUAUCCA
rnacentral:lncRNA from 1 species